rnacentral:rRNA from 1 species
CACGUGGGUAACCUACCUAUAAGACUGGAAUAACUUCGGGAAACCGGAGCUAAUGCCGGAUAACAUAUAGAACCGCAUGGUUCUAUAGUGAAAGAUGGUUUUGCUAUCACUUAUAGAUGGACCCGCGCCGUAUUAGCUAGUUGGUAAGGUAAUGGCUUACCAAGGCGACGAUACGUAGCCGACCUGAGAGGGUGAUCGGCCACACUGGAACUGAGACACGGUCCAGACUCCUACGGGAGGCAGCAGUAGGGAAUCUUCCGCAAUGGGCGAAAGCCUGACGGAGCAACGCCGCGUGAGUGAUGAAGGUUUUCGGAUCGUAAAACUCUGUUAUUAGGGAAGAACAAAUGCGUAAGUAACUGUGCGCAUCUUGACGGUACCUAAUCAGAAAGCCACGGCUAACUACGUGCCAGCAGCCGCGGUAAUACGUAGGUGGCAAGCGUUAUCCGGAAUUAUUGGGCGUAAAGCGCGCGUAGGCGGUUUCUUAAGUCUGAUGUGAAAGCCCACGGCUCAACCGUGGAGGGUCAUUGGAAACUGGGAAACUUGAGUGCAGAAGAGGAAAGUGGAAUUCCAUGUGUAGCGGUGAAAUGCGCAGAGAUAUGGAGGAACACCAGUGGCGAAGGCGACUUUCUGGUCUGUAACUGACGCUGAUGUGCGAAAGCGUGGGGAUCAAACAGGAUUAGAUACCCUGGUAGUCCACGCCGUAAACGAUGAGUGCUAAGUGUUAGGGGGUUUCCGCCCCUUAGUGCUGCAGCUAACGCAUUAAGCACUCCGCCUGGGGAGUACGACCGCAAGGGUUGAAACUCAANNAAUUGACGGGGACCCGCACAA